rnacentral:tRNA from 1 species
UAUUUUAUAGUAUAAUUAAUACAUUCAACUUCGAACUGAAAAAUAAUAAAAUAUAUUUAAAAUAA